CUCCUUUUGAGCAUGACGUUAUUCGUCCUGUCGGGCGUCCUCACAAAUUACCUGCAUUCAGAGAUUCAUACCGGCACAGGUCGGUAUGCGAAGUCCCUUUUGGGGCCUUAGCUCAGCUGGGAGAGCACCUGCUUUGCAAGCAGGGGGUCGUCGGUUCGAUCCCGACAGGCUCCACCAUAUUGAGUGAAAAGACUUCGGGUCUGUAGCUCAGGUGGUUAGAGCGCACCCCUGAUAAGGGUGAGGUCGGUAGUUCGAGUCUACCCAGACCCACCACUCUGAAUGUAGUGCACACUUAAGAAUUUAUAUGGAUCAGCGUUGAGGCUGAGACAUGUUCUUUUAUAACUUGUGACGUAGCGAGCGUUUGAGAUAUCUAUCUAAACGUGUCGUUGAGGCUAAGGCGGGGACUUCGAGUCCCUAAAUAAUUGAGUCGUAUGUUCGCGUUGGUGGCUUUGUACCCCACACAACACGGCAUGUAGCUCCGAGGCAACUUGGGGUUAUAUGGUCAAGCGAAUAAGCGCACACGGGA
rnacentral:tRNA from 1 species